GUGGGGAAUAUUGGGCAAUGGGGGCAACCCUGACCCAGCAACGCCGCGUGAGGGAAGAAGGUUUUCGGAUUGUAAACCUCUGUCCUAUGGGAAGAAGGAAGUGACGGUACCAUAGGAGGAAGCCCCGGCUAACUACGUGCCAGCAGCCGCGGUAAUACGUAGGGGGCGAGCGUUGUCCGGAAUUACUGGGCGUAAAGGGUGCGCAGGUGGCCUGACAAGUCAGAUGUGAAAUACCGAUGCUUAACGUCGGGGCUGCAUUUGAAACUAUGAGGCUGGAGUGCAGGAGAGGGAAGCGGAAUUCCUAGUGUAGCGGUGAAAUGCAUAGAUAUUAGGAGGAACACCAGUGGCGAAGGCGGCUUGCUGGACAUUAACUGACGCUGAGGCGCGAAAGCGUGGGGAGCAAACAGGAUUAGAAACCCGGGUAGUCC
rnacentral:rRNA from 1 species